AACGCAUAUUGCGCUCUUUGGUAUUCCGAAGAGCAUGCUUGUUUGAGUAUCAGUAAACACCUCAACCUCCUCUUGAUUUUUCAAAAGGAGGGUGGACUUGAGCUAUCCCAACAACCUUUAUCGGUCGGCGGGCGGCUUGAAAUGCAGGUGCAGCUGGACUUUUAUCUGAGCUAAAAGCAUAUCUAUUUAGUCCUCGUCAAACAGGAUUAUUACUUUUGCUGCAGCUAACAUAAAGGAUAAUUGUCCUCUUUGCUGACUGAUGCAGGAUUUUACGACACUUUAUGUGUUGUUCAACUCGAUCUCAAAUCAAGUAAGACUACCCGCUGAACUUAA
rnacentral:misc_RNA from 1 species